AGUUUGUCUUCGUAAGGUGUUGGGUUAAGUCUCGCAACGAGCGCAACCCUCAUGUUUAGUUGUCACUAUCAGUUUGAAACCCUGAACAGGCCACAUGUGUUAAACUGGAGGAAAGAGAGGAUGA
rfam:Hordeum vulgare subsp. vulgare, WGS project CAJW01000000 data, contig: morex_contig_10891